UCCCCCUCCGGGCGGCCGCCGUGGGGCCUAUUGGGCACUGGGCGCCCGCCUGCCCCCGCCCCGCCGCGUGCCGUCCGCCUGCUUUCGGGUUGUAAACUUCUUUUAAGAGGGAAGAGCAGAAGACGGUACCUCUUGAAUAAGCUCCGGCUAACUCCGUGCCAGCAGCCGCGGUAAUACGUAGGGAGCGAGCGUUGUCCGGAUUUACUGGGUGUAAAGGGCGUGCAGCCGGGAGUACAAGUCAGAUGUGAAAUCCCGCGGCUCAACCGCGGAACUGCAUUUGAAACUGUAUUUCUUGAGUACUGGAG
rnacentral:rRNA from 1 species